AGCUAGAAGGAAUUGAAACUAGAACAUAUGUCGUUAAGUUUAAGCCGGGGUUUUCGCUCCCCAGCCCUAACCCAGGAACUCACGCAAGCGAGCGCGCUUGGGGCGAAGAGAGGCGGCGAUGAGCGUCCUGACGCUGGAUCUGCGGCCUGGCGCUGGCAUCGGCGCCUUCAGCCUAGGGAUGCCAGUUUGUGAGGCGCUUGCUUAUAUCGAGCAGCAUCACUCCGUCUUUGAUGUCGUGCACAUCAAAUUCAACGACGAGGAUCCGCUACAAUUCGACCUUGUUAUAAGCUUUCCAGAGCAUGGAUUUCACCUUCGUUUCGAGCCGCGGACGCAGAGGCUUCGUCUGAUAGAAGUAUAUGAUGUCCAACGCUUGCAAAUGCGGUAUGCCACGUCCUCGAUUGGAGGUCCCAGUGUCGCGGCUACCUUCGUUGCCGUUUACGCACUCUUUGGCCCAACGUUUCCGGGAUCGUUCGAUGCAAAGCGGAAUAUCUAUACUCUCUUCUAUCCUGGCCUGGCGUUCACAUUUCCGAUUCCUGGGCAGUACACUAACUGCUGCCAAGAUCGAGAAGCUGAGCUGCCUAUUGAGUUUCCAGAUGGAACUACUCCUGUGAUGUCUCGCGUCUGUAUAUAUGACGGUGCGCUUGGUGGUAAUGUGGAGGCUGGCGCUAACCUUGCGGCCCUGAUAAAGAAAGCCAUCCCGCCGCAACUACCUUCAGGAAGUUUAUACAUGGAAGAAGUCCAUGCAAAGCUCGCUGAGGACCUGUUCUUUACAACCAGUAAGAAGCGCUUGCCGUUUGGAGCGUCUCCUCAGGACGUGUGGGCAGAACUUGGCCGCCCCGACGGAAUUCAUCAAAAGCAGGUGGAUCCUAUGGUUAUACACUCGGCAUCGGAUCCGAGGCCGAACUCAGCCCUUUGUGGUGACUACUUUUACAACUAUUUUGCUCGUGGCUUAGACAUCCUUUUCGACGGUCAGACACACCGGAUUAAAAAGUUCGUCUUGCACACGAACUUCCCGGCCCAUACCGAUUUCAACUCCUACAUAAAAUGCAAUUUUGUUAUACACUGCCCAUGUAAUGACUGGAAGCGACGAGAAAGAUUCACACUAUGUCAUAACUGGCGAUACAAAGUGGCCUCAAAUCCAGCUCUUGGGAGACGCCGGCCGAGCAGCCAUUCAAACGCAAGGCUCGGUUAGCAAUCCGUUCGGGCCAACCUUCGUCUAUGGCUACCGAAACAUCGCAUUUGAAGUUAUGAAGAACGGCCACAUAGCAACUGUGACACUCUUCCAAACGAAUUAGAGCGUCGCAAGAACCAAUCACUCUCAAAACUCUCAAACUGUACAGGAUUGAUGUAAAUACUGCCCAUCGCUUCGUGUGAAUACGAAUAAUACAAGAAAGAUGUUCUUGA